AGCGAUGAAUAAGGCGUUGUGCCGACAAGCAGUGUCUUAGGAGCUUUACAAGGGUUUGACAUUUACCACAAGUCGGAUAGGGAACCCGAAAGAAAAUGU
rnacentral:sRNA from 1 species